GCUCAGCUAUAAACCCAGAUAUUUAAUACACAAAAAUAUCCGCCAGAGAACUACGAGCAAAAUGCUUAAAACUCUAAGGACUUGACGGUACCUUAAACCCUCCUAGAGGAGCCUGUUCUAUAAUCGAUAAUCCACGAUCUACCUCACCAUCUCUUGCCAGUACCGCCUAUAUACCGCCGUCACCAGCCUACCCUAUGAAGGACAUAAAAGUAAGCAAAACAACAAAACAGCUAACAAGUCAGGUCAAGGUGUAGCUUACUGAGAUGGAAGAAAUGGGCUACAUUUUCUAAACUAGAAAUAUUUUACGGAAAGAACUAUGAAACAAGUCUUAUAAGUAGGAUUUAGCAGUAAAUAAGGAUCAGAAUGCCCUAUUUAAGCCGGCCCUAAGGCACGC
rnacentral:rRNA from 1 species